AUUGAACGCUGGCGGCAUGCUUUACACAUGCAAGUCGAACGGUAACAGGUUAAGCUGACGAGUGGCGAACGGGUGAGUAAUGCAUCGGAACGUGCCCGAUCGUGGGGGAUAACGCAGCGAAAGCUGCGCUAAUACCGCAUACGAUCUGAGGAUGAAAGCGGGGGACCGUAAGGCCUCGCGCGAUCGGAGCGGCCGAUGUCAGAUUAGGUAGUUGGUGGGGUAAAGGCUCACCAAGCCGACGAUCUGUAGCUGGUCUGAGAGGACGACCAGCCACACUGGGACUGAGACACGGCCCAGACGCCUACGGGAGGCAGCAGUGGGGAAUUUUGGACAAUGGGCGAAAGCCUGAUCCAGCAAUGCCGCGUGCAGGAAGAAGGCCUUCGGGUUGUAAACUGCUUUUGUACGGAGCGAAAAGGUCCUUUCUAAUACAAGGGGCUCAUGACGGUACCGUAAGAAUAAGCACCGGCUAACUACGUGCCAGCAGCCGCGGUAACAC
rnacentral:rRNA from 1 species